GGGCGUGUGAUGGAGUGGCCAAGCAUCUUGGUUGUAAUGCCAGGUAACGCAGGUUCGAUUCCUGCCAUGUCCG